UUUUCUUGCAAUGUAUUUGAAUUGCUGAGUUUGCAAAAAGCUGUACUAGAACACGAGAUUUGAGCAACUCAGCCAUGGAUUAAUCUGAUUCUAGUCCUUUGCCUUUCUUGCAGGUCAUGUAGAAAUUGGUAAUGGUUAUGGUGUACCAGGUGGAGGUGCAUAUUAUGGUUCUUUGAGGCCUGAGCUUGAUAGAGAGUCAGAAAAGAAGCCUGCUACUAGAGAACUUCCUGCGUACCUGAGCAGAAGUGAGNNNGUACCUUGAGCAGAAGUUGAGAGCAAGGGGUAUUCUUGAUAAUGACACAGAAAAAGGCUGUCUGUCAAAUGAUGAAAAUGCAAGUUUGUUCUGAUCAUAGUUUCUUCAUAUUCAUAACUCCCCCUUUACUUUCUUUCAGUUUGUAGGCAGCCUUGGACGAUUAAGCCUGGGGCUGGGGAUUUCCAUUUUAGAUGUCUAUUACAAGUCUCUGAUCUCAUUUUCUUGGUUGCUUUAAUCAUAAGAGAAGUUUCAUUAUGCACUUCUAGUUCUAAGUUUUCUGAUGUUAACUUCUUAUGCUAUUAUUCUUCUUUUUUAAAUUUCUU
rnacentral:lncRNA from 1 species